UACAUGGGGUGCAAACGUUGCUCGGAAUUAUUGGGCGUAAAGCGCACGUAGGCGGUUCGUUAAGUCGGAUGUGAAAGCCCUCGGCUCAACUGAGGAAGUGCACCCGAAACUGGCGAGCUUGAGUACGAAAGAGGGUCGCGGAAUUCCCGGUGUAGAGGUGAAAUUCGUAGAUAUCGGGAGGAACACCGGUGGCGAAGGCGGUUCUCUGGGCCUUACCUGACGCUGAGGAGCGAAAGCGUGGGGAGCGAACAGG
rnacentral:rRNA from 1 species